rnacentral:rRNA from 1 species
UACGUAGGUGGCUAGCGUUGUCCGGAUUUACUGGGCGUAAAGAGCGCGCAGGCGGUCGUUCAAGUCGAGUGUGAAAGCCCCCGGCUCAACUGGGGAGGGUCACUCGAUACUGAUCGACUCGAAGGCAGGAGAGGGAAGCGGAAUUCCCGGUGUAGUGGUGAAAUGCGUAGAUAUCGAGAGGAACACCUGCGGCGAAGGCGGGUAGCUGGGCCGACACUGACGCUGAGGCGCGAAAGCCAGGGGAGCGAACGGG